rnacentral:rRNA from 1 species
GGGCCCGCACAAGCAGUGGAGCAUGUGGUUUAAUUCGACGAUACGCGAAGAACCUUACCAGGGUUUGAAAUCUACAGAAUUCCCUAGAAAUAGGGAAGUGCCGCAAGGAACUGUAAGACAGGUGGUGCAUGGCUGUCGUCAGCUCGUGUCGUGAGAUGUUGGGUUAAGUCCCGCAACGAGCGCAACCCCCGUUCCGUGUUGCCAGCACUUUAAGGUGGGAACUCACGGAAGACUGUCUGUGGAAAGCAGAAGGAAGGUGGGGAUUACGUCAAGUCAUCAUGCCCCUUACACCCUGGGCUACACACAUGCUACAAUGGCCGGUACAAUGGGUCGCCAAGCCGCGAGGUGGAGCCAAUCCCAAAAACCGGUCCCAGUUCGGAUUGUAGUCUGCAACUCGACUACAUG